UACAGAGGUCUCAAGCGUUGUUCGGAUUCAUUGGGCGUAAAGGGUGCGUAGGCGGCGCGGUAAGUCGGGUGUGAAAUCUCGGAGCUUAACUCCGAAACUGCAUUCGAUACUGCCGUGCUUGAGGACUGGAGAGGAGACUGGAAUUUAUGGUGUAGCGGUGAAAUGCGUAGAUAUCGUAAGGAAGACCAGUGGCGAAGGCGGGUCUCUGGACAGUUCCUGACGCUGAGGCACGAAGGUCCAGGGGAGCAAACGGG
rnacentral:rRNA from 1 species